UCAGGUUAUAGCUCGAGAGCAGUCUCUCUUUAUAAGAGAACUUAGGUCCAGGGAAUCCAAAUCAGUGCUAUUUGAGACUUUUAAGCAACGAGUUAUAAUGCUGUCCUUCAGUCGUCCUGCUCUACUGUUGGUUUUAUCUCAUUUAUUUUCAAUCAUUUACACCGCAUUCGUAGAUCCAAAAGAAUGCGGCAGAGUGGACCAGGCUCAGUUGUGGAACGGAGAGCUCCUUACACAACCAAAUGAGCAUCCAUGGAUUGGAAAAAUCGAAACCAAUGAUGAUGAGCGAAGACUCCUAUGUGUUGCAGUCCUCAUAGAUUUCCGUCAUGCGUUAACUGCUGCCCGUUGUGUCCAUGAUCCCAGUGUGGAAAUAAAGUUCCUCGUUUUCGGCAACUGGAACUCUGGAAACACAAGCACAUACAUUACUGCUAAAGCAACACAGAAAGUUUCUGUCAAAAAGAUAACAAUUCAUCCCGACUAUAAGCUUGGUGAGUUUGGCCAUAAUGUGGCCAUCAUAGACCUGAAGAAAAACGUGGUUACCACCGAUUUCGUUCAACCCAUUUGCCUUUCUUCGACGGAGGAUUAUAAGACCAGUGCGGAUCUUACCGUAGCUGGUUAUGAGAGGCCUUCCUUGCAGGGACAAGCUAGCCCCCUGGAAACAAGGAGAAUCAAGCUUCCAUUUGAGUCCAGUACCAGCCAAGAGUGUCGCACUCAGUUUGAGCAUUUUCCGAGGGAAUUCAUCUGCGGCCACUCCAAUCGGUUGCCCCUUUACGGAUCUGCUCUGAUUGAAGCUGUGGGGAACCCCAAGAAAUUUCAUCUGAUUGGCAUCGUUCCUCGUCCGGUGAGAAACAUCUGCAGUUACAUAUAAACAUACUAUUCCAGUUGGAUUGGAUUCUAAAGAAUACCAGCGAAUGAGUUAUUUUUUAAUUUUCGCCUGUCAAGCCAACUUUUCACUUUUAGACAGACUUGUAAAUAAACAGGAGAAAGUUCAACACAUUUUUGUGGAAUAUGGGGAGAGGAGCGGUUGCCCUUCCGAGCCACUUCCCUUCCAUUGCACCGGUAAUAAAUUGGAAAUGCUUUUAGGUUAUUUGCACAAAGUUGUCGGCUUUUGACCCAAACCCAAAUGCAUAAAUCACGCGAAAACCCCAAAACACGUUUGGGGUCUUCGCCGCUGGGUUGUCGCUGGCAAAGAAUUAAAUUUCCUCCUUUUGGCCCUCAACUUUUGCCAUUAGACCUCCCCUGCCAGAGACCUCGAAACCAAUUUCAACGCCAGUGCUCCUGAUUUCUGAUUCCCGCUUUCUGUUUUCCGCUCUCCGUUCUUGAAGGGGAAAUGCAGUUUUUCGACACUUGCCUGGCGCCGAAAACCUUAAGUACAUAUCAGCUUGGCAUAAUUUAUGUUUGGCUGGGGCCAAAACCACUUGCCAACCAAACAACCAACUAACCAGCCAAGUAUCCAAGUGCAAGCGGCAACCUUAUCGAGUAGCAGCCACGUGGAAUAUGGAAAUGGGCGAGCAGCUGGAGCCAUAAAUUCAAUGAAAUGAAAUUCUCGUAAACGAGAGCAGGAGCACGAGAUUUGCGAUGCCAAUGAAUCAUGCCUAAUUGUCGUCAAACACUUCGCCCUGAGCACUGCACUGAUCACAGGAGGUGUUCUGGAGAAGAUUCUGUGAAGUCAUCAUCAUCGUUGGAGGGGGGGAGGCAUUACUUCAGCCGGCGGCUGUCGAGCAACUUGAUUACGCAUACGCCCCGUGCUCCCGAAUGAUUAAUGCUCCAUAAAAUGCGACGGCGGGCGGGUUGUGUGCCAAAAGCAUUCUCGGCUAGUCCCUAACACGCAACGCGGAAAACGCAAAACGCCAAACAGACGCAGGCGAAACGAAGCCAAAUUAAAAUUCAUUUUUAUGGCAUUUUUUUAUUGCAACACGUAAAACACAAAUUGAGACAAGAUGAAGUGUGGCAGUGUAGGCGUAGGCCAAUUGCGUGCGGCACUUACAAGCAAUUACAAUUUUAAAUGCAACGCACAUAAAACGCAUGAAAUGUCUUUUUAAACGCUUCUCUGCGAUAACCAGUUGCAAUCAGAGAGAAAAUACGUACAUAUUUGUAUUUAAUCUUGCAAACCUCAAGGCACACAAUAAACUGUACAACUUACUCAGUUCUUAUCCGACAUUUCUUGAGAGCAGAACACAUAAUGCUCAUUACUGCGGCACUAUUAUUUAUUUUCCUAAGUCAUGCAAUUUCUGGUGAAAAUGGAAAUGAGUGCUUAGAUAUCAAACCCUCAAUUGGCAAGACUAUAAAUAAGUCGACAAAUUUUAGUUGGUUCGGGAAGAUAGGGUACACUCCCCCAAACGAAAAAAAUCGAAUCUAUGGAUGCACCGGAGUCGCCAUCACCCCCAGACAUGUCCUGGCACCUGCACACUGUGUAUAUUGUCUGGAAAAAAAAGGCACAUACAAUUUUUUCCCCCAAUCUUCCAUCUAUAUUCGACAUAGGGUCGAAAAGAUAUUCAUUCAUCCGAAUUACACCUUGGAGGAUGACACCUCCAAUGACAUUGCUGUCUUGAGGGUCGUGGAAAGGUUUCCCCUGAACUGUAGCAUUCCUCUGGAGGAUCAAGAAGAUAAGAAGUCUCUGCCUGGCCGGCGGCUGGACGUAGUAGGAGGUCACAACUCCACUAACAUGGAAGAUUUUCUAGCCCAGGCUUACAUCACAGGUCGAUCCACUUGCCAACAAAAACUUAGGGGCCUUAACAUAACCCAUAACGACGUUUGUGGGUAUAUCUACUCGAGUAACAUCAACCUAAAAGGAGCUGCCCUUCUGACCAAUAAAAUGGUAAAUGGAACCAUGUUGUGGCACCUCCUAGGGAUAUCAACAAAAGGCCUCUAUCAUACCCCAGAUCUCUUUACUAUUAUCGAGCCUUACAGAAAGUGGAUUUCCAAAAUAAUUCAAUUAGGAGAAAGCGAUUAAUUAUUUAAGUAAAAAUAAGUCAACACAUCGUUUAUAAAUACAACACCAUGUAGUAUUUAUGAUAACAGGAAUAUUUAUUAUCAGAAGUUUAAAUGUUUUACACCGCAAAUAACCCAUUUGUGACUAACAGACUUAAUAAAAGCUAAAAAUUAUGUCAGAAA